GUGGGGAAUAUUGCACAAUGGGCGAAAGCCUGAUGCAGCAACGCCGCGUGAGGGACGACGGCCUUCGGGUUGUAAACCUCUUUUAGUAGGGAAGAAGCGAAAGUGACGGUACCUGCAGAAAAAGCACCGGCUAACUACGUGCCAGCAGCCGCGGUAAUACGUAGGGUGCAAGCGUUAUCCGGAAUUAUUGGGCGUAAAGAGCUCGUAGGCGGUCUGUCGCGUCUGCUGUGAGAACUGGAGGCUCAACCUCCAGCCUGCAGUGGGUACGGGCAGACUAGAGUGCGGUAGGGGAGAUUGGAAUUCCUGGUGUAGCGGUGGAAUGCGCAGAUAUCAGGAGGAACACCGAUGGCGAAGGCAGAUCUCUGGGCCGUAACUGACGCUGAGGAGCGAAAGCGUGGGGAGCGAACAGGAUUAGAUACCCCUGUAGUCC
rnacentral:rRNA from 1 species